UACAGAGGUCUCAAGCGUUGUUCGGAUUCAUUGGGCGUAAAGGGUGCGUAGGCGGCGCGGUAAGUCGGGUGUGAAAUCUUGGAGCUUAACUCCGAAACUGCAUUCGAUACUGCCGUGCUUGAGGACUGGAGAGGAGACUGGAAUUUACGGUGUAGCGGUGAAAUGCGUAGAUAUCGUAAGGAAGACCAGUGGCGAAGGCGGGUCCCUGGACAGUUCCUGACGCUGAGGCACGAAGGCCAGGGGAGCAAACGGG
rnacentral:rRNA from 1 species